rfam:Vibrio sp. MEBiC08052 genomic scaffold scaffold00001, whole genome shotgun sequence.
UGGGGGUAACAUGAAGACUCGGUUUUUAAAAAUGUUUCACCCAAUCAAGAAAACCAUUCAUGGAAGAAUGGUUAGGCUUUUCCGGGCAGGACGCCCGUAAAAGCUGGUUCUGGACAACGUGCGAUUCAGCCAAACAAAAAAAGAUCUUCUGGUGACUCUUG